AGAGUUUGAUCCUGGCUCAGGAUGAACGCUAGCGGCAGGCUUAAUACAUGCAAGUCGUGGGGCAGCGAGGGUAGCAAUACCUGUCGGCGACCGGCAAACGGGUGCGGAACACGUACGCAACCUUCCUUUAAGUGGGGGAUAGCCCAGGGAAACUUGGAUUAAUACCCCUUAACAUUAUGGUGUGGCAUCACAUUAUAAUUAAAGCUACGGCGCUUAAAGAUGGGCGUGCGGCUGAUUAGGUAAUUGGCGGGGUAAAGGCCCACCAAGCCUACGAUCAGUAACUGGUGUGAGAGCACGACCAGUCACACGGGCACUGAGACACGGGCCCGACUCCUACGGGAGGCAGCAGUAAGGAAUAUUGGUCAAUGGACGCAAGUCUGAAUCAGCCAUGCCGCGUGGAGGAUGAAGGCCCUCUGGGUUGUAAACUUCUUUUAUUUGGGAAGAAACCCAUCUUUUCUAAGGUGGUUGACGGUACCAGAUGAAUAAGCACCGGCUAACUCCGUGCCAGCAGCCGCGGUAAUACGGAGGGUGCAAGCGUUAUCCGGAUUCACUGGGUUUAAAGGGUGCGUAGGUGGGCAGGUAAGUCAGUGGUGAAAUCUCCGAGCUUAACUCGGAAACUGCCGUUGAUACUAUCUGUCUUGAAUAUCGUGGAGGUGAGCGGAAUAUGUCAUGUAGCGGUGAAAUGCUUAGAUAUGACAUAGAACACCCAUUGCGAAGGCAGCUCGCUACACGGUUAUUGACACUGAGGCACGAAAGCGUGGGGAUCAAACAGGAUUAGAUACCCUGGUAGUCCACGCCCUAAACGAUGGAUACUCGACAUAUGCGAUACACAGUAUGUGUCUGAGCGAAAGCAUUAAGUAUCCCACCUGGGAAGUACGACCGCAAGGUUGAAACUCAAAGGAAUUGACGGACCCCC
rnacentral:rRNA from 1 species